UAUUACUUAGUACAGUUUACCUAUGUGAUACAGUGGCAAUUUAUCGGCCUAAAGGUAAGCGACUACUUAUCGGUAUCGGACGCACGCAACGGAGUACGCCUCAUACUAAAAUCCAUUUUGGACGUUGUUGUGUGAGUUCGUUUACAAGGCAUACUAAAAUCCGCUGCGUGCGAUGCCGAUAAGUGGACGCUUACCUUAAAAUCUCGUUUUGGUGACGGUCCGGCGACGGCGGCCGUGGACAAACGACCAAACUGCUGCCGUUAUGGCAGCAACCCAUUGAAACAAUGUUAUGGUUAUUUAUAUUUGCUCUUGUAAAUACAACUUGCAAGCAUAAUAUUAUCUUUUAGUAAAUGUUGUCUGUA